CAGUGGUGAUAGACUUCAUCAUGGUGGUCAGUCAGGUCCACAUAAGGAGAAGGCUGCUGUUAGCCAGUUUCCUGUUUCUCUCUGUCUAUGGACAAACUUCAGGACCAUAUUUUAUGGUCACGUUUCCUGCAGUAAUCGAGUCUGGCUCUCAAGUAAUAUUCUGUGCGAGUCUUCUGAAGCCUAAUGAGACUCUGCAAAUGGACGUAUAUCUGGUUCAUGACAACCAGAGCAGAACUCUUUUACACGAGACAGUGGAAAAGGACUUUCACUUCUGCUCUCAUUUUGAGGCUCCACAGGUUGAAGGUGAAUCAGUGCAAGACAUCAAAGUAGAAGUCAAAGGGGAAAGUUUUAAGAUGACAGAUAAAAGGAAAGUGAUGUUUAAAUCCUACGGCACAUUGACUUUUAUCCAGACUGAUAAACCCAUCUACAAUCCAGGACAAACAGUGAAUUUCAGAGUUGUCUCUAUGGAUUCUCAUUUAAUCCCACUUAAACUAAAGUACAGCACGGUGUAUCUUCAGGAUAAUAAUGGUAACAGGAUUGGCCAGUGGACAAAUGUGUCUUCGUCAGGUCUGAUACUGCAGCUUUCUCAUGAGCUAAAUGCUGAAGCUCCAGAGGGACAUUAUCUGUUAAUUGCUGACAUUGGAGACAGGUCGAUCAGACACCAGUUUAAAGUGGAAAAGUAUGUUUUACCCAAGUUUGAGGUUACAUUAAAAGCACCAGAAGAACACAGCAUUGGUGACGAGGAAGUGAAGCUAGAGGUUUGUGGAAAGUACACUUAUGGACAGCCAGUGCCUGGUGAAGCAGUGGUGCAGGUGUGCCGGCGAUUUAGGCAGCAUUAUUAUGUGCCAUUGAUGAUUUCACCCUGUCUGAGUGAAACAGUGAAGAUAGGUCAGACUGGCUGUGCAUUUUCCCUCAUCAAUGUGACCACUUUCUUGAAUACUGAAUUUGAAAAUAGACUUGAGGAUCAACUUCAAUUUACUGUUACAUUUAAAGAGGAAGGAACGGAUACUUCCAUUGUGAAAUCUGAAAAAAUAAGACUCUCUUUCCAAAUUGGUAAAGUGGAAAUCCUUGAUUCACCAAAAAACUUUGAGAGAGAAAAAGCUAUAGAAGGAAAAAUUAAAGUUACUACCUUCAGUGGAACACCAAUUCCUAACAAGAGGGUGUAUCUUUCAGAAGGUCAACAAUGGGCUCCAACAUUACUACUCAAUCUUACUACAGAUAGUAAUGGCUUGGCAGACUUCUCAGUCCCUUCACCUGAACAUCCUAAAACAGAGAUAUUAUUGAGGGCAAGUGUCUAUCCAGAGGAAAAAUACCACCAAUACAAAACACCAUUCUUUUCAACUGCGGACACACGUAUACAUCUGCUCCAACCUGCUACACCUUACAGUCCAGUGUUCAGUGAACUGUCAAUAGAGAGCUCAGAAGAACCAUUUAAAUGUGGUGCUGAAAUUCCCAUAACAAUUAACUACUAUAUUAUUGGGGAAACUUCUGAAAGUUACAAUAUUGAUCUUAUAUACAUGGUCUUGUCUAAAGGACUCAUAGUCCAUCAUGGGCAUGAGACAGUUGAAGUGGAAGCAUCUACAGAUACCAGAAAAGGAAAAAUCUCAUUUAAAUUAUCUGUUCUUGCUGAGCUGGCUCCUGUAGUGCAGGUUGUGGCGUACUCUGUCCUGCCCAGUGAGAACGUCAUUGCAGCUAGUAAGAACUUUGAUGUUGAAAAGUGUUUCGGAAAUAAGGUUUCGCUACAGUUCUCUCCCUCUAAAGCAGUUCCAGGUGAGAAGAACACUCUUGGGGUCUCAGCUCAUCCGGGUUCACUUUGUGGCCUCAGUGCUGUAGAUCAGAGUGUGUUCAUCUUGGAAUCUGGAAACCGCCUAAACGCUGACAAGAUAUUUAACUUGUUGCCAGUGACCUUGGUAUCGGAUUAUUCAUAUACAGUUGAAGAUGAGCUGGAGUGCUUGCACGUUCGACCCCAGCGAGAUGUGCGGGUUGAUCAUGUUUACAAUACAUUAAAGGGAGUGGGGCUGAAGAUGGCAACAAAUUUGGCUGUUAGACAACCUCGUUGUUUGGUGUACAAAGGCGUGCAGUUUCAUCGUGAACAUGUAUAUGUUGCAUACAGGACAAAUGUUCAUGCUUUUGGUCAACCAAUGGCAUUAGCAGAUUAUCAUCAAGGCUUUGAACCCAUCGAGACAGUUCGUAAAUUCUUUCCAGAAACUUGGAUAUGGCAACUUCUUGAAGUUGGAGACUCUGGAUCAGCACAGCUUCCGCUCACUGUUCCUGACACCAUCACCACCUGGGAGACUGAGGCUUUCUGCUUGUCCUCUAUAGGUCUGGGUCUCGCUCCUCCUGUUCAGCUCACUGUGUUUCAGCCCUUCUUCCUGGAGCUCUCUUUGCCUUACUCCAUUAUCCGGGGAGAGGUUUUUGAGUUGAAGGCCACUGUCUUCAAUUAUCUUUCCAAAUGCAUUAUGGUUAAAGUGACUCCAGCCCCUUCCUCAGACUACACUCUGGAAAAAUCUUCUGAUGGUGAAUAUUCAUCCUGUCUGUGUGCAAAUGGAAGAAAGACCCUCAAAUGGACUCUGAUUCCCUCUGUGCUUGGAGUCUUGAACGUGACAGUGAGUGCAGAGGCAGAACAAUCCCAGACUGUGUGUGAUAAUGAGAUCGUGAGUGUUCCAGAGAGAGGCCGUAUUGACACAGUUACACGAAGCCUCAUUGUAAAGGCUGAAGGAACUGAAAAGACAAAGAGCCAAAGCUGGUUAUUAUGUCCACAAGGUAACAGUGUUUCAGAGGAAUUGGAGCUGACUCUUCCUGAGGAUGUAAUAAAGGGAUCAGCACGAGCUUCUGUUUCAGUGCUUGGAGACAUACUUGGCCGUGCAUUAAAAAAUCUCAAUGGACUACUAAAGAUGCCAUAUGGCUGUGGAGAACAAAACAUGGCCCUUCUCGCCCCAAAUAUCUACAUUCUUCAGUAUCUAGAGAACACUGAGCAGCUCACCACAGAUAUCCGUGAGAAGGCUACCGGUUUCCUUAAGAGUGGAUACCAGAGGCAGCUAAACUAUAAGCAUUUUAGUGGUGGUUAUAGCACAUUUGGAAGUGGAGAGGAGAACACAUGGUUAACAGCUUUUGUAUUGAGGACCUUUGGCAAAGCACAAAGUUACAUCUUUAUUGAUCCAGAAAUCAUUAAAAGUGCAAAACAGUGGCUCACAAAUAUGCAGAGAACAGAUGGCUGUUUUACACAACAGGGAAAUCUGUUCAAUAAAAGAAUGAAGGGUGGUGUAAAUGAUGAAGUGACCAUUACUGCAUACAUCACUACAGCAUUCCUUGAAUUGGGCCUUACAGUGCAAGAUCCUGUUGUUAAUAAAGGGCUGUUAUGCCUAAAAUCUUCUAUUGGUAACCUGACAAACACCUACACCACUGCGCUCUUGGCUUACACUUUCAGUCUGGCUGGAGAGAAUGAAACUCGAGAGCAGCUACUAAAAGAGUUAAAUAGUAUUGCUAUUACAGGAGAUGGUCGUCUUCACUGGUCUCAGUCAGCAUUAGAUGAUUCCAGCUCAUUGUCAGUGGAAAUCAGUUCCUACGUGCUCCUAGCUGUUCUCAGUACAGGUCACCUCACUGCUGCAGAUUUGGGCUAUGCUAAUAGGAUAGUCAGCUGGCUCGUGAAGCAGCAAAAUCCCUAUGGAGGCUUUUCAUCCACCCAGGACACAGUCGUGGCCCUCCAAGCUCUGGCUCUGUACUCCACUAAAGUGUUCAGCUCAGAAGGCUCUAGCACAGUAACUGUAAAGUCUGCAGAUGGACACAGUCACAACUUUGAUGUGAAUCAGAACAACAAGUUACUGUACCAAGAAAGAUCAUUGCAGGAUGUUCCUGGUAAAUACAGCAUUGAUGUGAAGGGCUCCACCUGUGUAUCAGUGCAGACAGCACUUUUCUACAAUAUCCCUACACCUACUGAAAUCAGUACACUGAGCAUCAUGGCUAAGACCGAAGGAAACUGCACAAAAUCAUUUGGCCACACUUUGACAAUCACAUUCUCUGUCGUGAAAUCAUGUGGGAAAUGCUCAAACUUCUGAAACUUCUGCCACUGAAUUUGUUUUAUCGCUUCUUCAAAAAUUUAAGGAUUUAGCAGUAUAAAGAGUGAACAGUUCAUUUUCAAGUGUUUCACCAUAUUUUAUUGAAUUACCAUGUAUAUUUCAGAGAUACAGUAUUUUAAAAGAAUUUAUCGAGUAGUCCAGCAGAAUUUGCUUCCAUUUUACCACUAGGACAAUGCUUAUUAUUUGCUAUUAUUGUUGGUUACUGGGCUAUUAUUGGUCCUUAUUUGUCAUUGAUGUUUAUUACAGUAAUUGAUACCUAGUUUUUGUUGUUGUCUGUCUUCAAUUUGCAGAUAUGAUGGUGAACUAAACAGCACUAACAUGAUCAUAGUGGACAUAAAACUCCUAUCAGGGUUCACAGCUGAUCCUGGUGAACUGAAAAAUCAGAUUUUGGUGGAACGAGUUGAUUCCAAGGAUGACCAUAUUAUCAUGUAUAUAAACGAGCUCCAAAGGAAUAUUCCUGCCAACUAUUAUCUACACAUUAAACAAGCGAUGCCUGUCAAGAAUCUCAAGCCAGCUGUGAUCAAAGUUUAUGAUUACUACCAAACAAAUGACCAGUCUGAGACGGAGUACACCUCCACCUGUGCAUAAGCUUCCAGAUCUGCAUUAAAGAUUCAGAAAAGCGGAAUGGAUAUCUUCUGUGUGCUAUGUUUUUCCUGUAAAAAACAAACAAUCAUAUUGAUAUGCUUGUCCUCUUGUUAGUAAAGCUGAAUUUUCUUGCAUCCAAACAAAUGUAUACAGUGCCUUGCAUAGAUUUCAUCUUCCCUGAAAUUUUGUCUUGCUAAUGAAAUGAACUUAUGAGCUUUCUAUGGUCGUUCUAACAUAUUCAGGGUCUUAGUCUAGCUUUAGCAGUGUGUUUAAGGCCAUUUUCCUAUCCACAUUUGUUCUGGGGUUGCUGCUGUAAAAAUGAUUUAUGGGUAUAAUUUCUGGUGGAAAUAGCAGCACAGUGUUGACUGGGCAGCAUGGGUUUAGCUGAUGACUUAUUUUUUAACGUUCAAAAAUUGUUUUAAGCUGUAGUUGUUAGAUCACGAUGCUAGGACUUUUCUUUGUAUCUAAGUAUUGAGACACAUUUUAAAUAAAAUGAGGUAAUAAUUACUGUA